rnacentral:lncRNA from 1 species
AAUUUAUAAAAAUGAAAUUUCUAAAACUACUGCAAAAUCUCAAUUUUUUUUUUAUUAUUUAACAUAAAUUAUAUAACUUAACGAUCUUUUCUUCAAUCUAUUACGGUUGAUUCCUGCUUUAUGGCACGCAUCCUCAAAUUUACGUUUUCUGCUUCAGAGCAUUGUAUGGUGCACAUCUGAUAUUAAAGUAUCAUUUCAGAAUACCAGAUGGAACAUUCAGACUCCGAUAAUAUAAUAUAUCAUUCAUGAAUCAGAUUCUGGUCGAGUUUGUACGGGUUGUGGUAACUUGUGAAGGAAUUCAGGCGACUUCGCCAUUCUAACGUAAUUCGAUAAAACAUAACCUGCGGAUUUCCAUGUUGAAUCGAGAUAAGUGUCUGAAACUCCAUUAUACGAGCAUGGUUGGUUAAGUUUAGAAUUUUUAUGUGUAACCGAAAUAGCGGUCACUGGUACCGUGGGUUAACUCUAUGAUUCAAUAUCAGUUCGCAAGUCAUUGGAUCGGGAAUCUGUUAAGUGGAGGAUUCAUCAGAAAUAUCUGUCCCGCGAGUUAACUCUAUGAUCCAAUAUCAUGAAAUUCAUUUUUACUGAAUAUCACAUUGUUUUUUUCUUUUCUUAUCA